UUAUAUAUAUAUAUAUUACUGUGAUAUUAUAUUUGAAAAAUUUAUUUGUGAAAAUUAGGGCAAUCGAACCGGAGCAUUAGUUAUUGUGCACGGAUUACCUGAAACUCAGGGAUGGUUGUUGGACUCCGUCCACUCGUAAUAAAUAGGAAGAAUUGAAGAUUUGGACUAAUCACCUGGGCCAGUGCACAGAAGUUGUCAACAUUGGGCUGUCCGUAGGUAAGUCGAACCUCGUACAGCAGGAUCCGCUAUUCCUUCUUUUGACGGUAGAAGGCGCUGUUUCUUUACCUGACCCGAAAAUAUUACUACAAGGCGUUGCUUGCACUCGGGCGACUUUUAGUUUCUCUUGCCGGGUCCUUCCUCUCUGAUUGUAGAAAGUGAAAACGGCAAUUAAAGAAGAAGCAUUGCUAAACAAAUUCAUCACAUUCCUUGUUUAGUCCCCUGCGACCAGAACAAAUAAUAAAUCUAUAAACGGGUCCUGUUUCGGAGAAUCCGUAAAUUUGGAAGUUGGAGGUAGAUGAUAAUGAAAGCUGUCGAGGUUGUGAGAAAUUCCGUGACUUCUUCGGCAAUACUGGGCAAAGAAAGCGUUCAGCAAACUCCGCCGCGCCGAUAGGUGCUAUGAGAUCAGUAUUUCUGUUCUGAUAUAGGAAUCCCAUACGCCUCAAGGGUGUCGAGGUACUGUUCAGCCACGCGUUGGUCGGCGAUGACGACAGCGUCGCUAUCCCAAAGGCUAUGAUUGUGGAAGUGAAGCAACGAAAUGCUUUUUUGAAGGUGAAGAAGAACUUGAACUUGAAGCCAAAAUGAUAGAGCCCUUAGGAGCUGAGGGCAAUGAGCAGACACAGAGAGUUCAUCUGCAUCUGCAAUUUGUUUAUUCAUCCAAGUGUUUGCUUUAAAUAGCAAUAAGGCCAAGAGGAGGUGAAGAUGAGGACAUGGAUGCGACUUCGGUGGAAGAAUGUUAUCCUUAUAAGUAAUCCAUAAAAACAAAAUUCUUCACUGGGAUAGUAGACACACGGUGUACAUGCAGGUGGAGGUGCUGCAACGUAUAUACUUGCUAGCUGGAAUUCUGGCUUUUCCUGCCGACAUUGCAGUUGGAGAGUUUAAAGCCAAAUAAUUGAGAUGAGGUCCUUCUAGACUUUCAGAAUGGCCAAGUCUCUUCUACCAAUGAAUGAAUCUUAUUAUUUCCAAAUGAUCUCCUCUAUGAGAAUCAAGAACUUGCAUUGCCAGAUGCUAAUGAUGUAACUGCAAUGAUGCUGAUUGGGUCUCGAGGAUUUCUCUAUUUGCUUGGCUUUCCAAUUGCUUUCAAGAAAUUCUGUCUGGAGGAUUCUGCUGAUGUUCUUGGAGACCAAGUAGGUUUUCAGUUGGUAAUUGUUAACCUACAAAGAACUAAGCUCGCUUGUUUCCUGUAAGUUUGAGUUGAGCAGCAAUAAAGAAAUCUGAUAUCCUCUAAAUUCUUUUUGCCUUUUAUGUCGUACAAUGUGUUAAUUCCAGUAAAGGUGUCUUUCUGCAAUAUGGUCAUCUGAAAUUAUUUAGCUAAUCAUUUACCCCUUAGAUUUGCCACGACAGUAGAGAUUGUUUUUCUUCCUUUCACAGUUUCCUCUUGUCAUUUUUAUAAGUAGUUGAAUACUUUGCUGCCGUUUGAUGCAUUAUUUGGAUUUUCUUGGUAAAACUAACCACAGCAAUGCAGCAUGACCACUCCAAGCAAAUUCCUAAAUGAACUUCAGAUUGGGUCUGGAUAGGUAACAAUGCACGCCAAUGAGCUUCAAUAGUGUGCAUCCUUGAUCAAAGCCUACUGUUUGGUGCUUCGGUUGCCAUCUUCUUUAACUCCUAGCCGAGAUAGGUGAUUGAUGGUAGGGGGUAGAAAGAUACUGUACUCAGUAAUCGCUCUGUUUUUCUGUACGCGUUUCUGAUCAAUGUUAUGUUGCAAAUAAAACCGGACCUGGCCACUUGAGAGUUGAGAAUGCCUGAUGAGUCUGCUUGACUCCUGUAUGUCAGCUAGAAAUGAUGUCGGUUUUAUGGCGGUUGUAGGGUCAGGGUAUGCUUUUCUUUUUCAUGUUUGGUGGUGAAAAUCUAUUUGAGGAUUUGGGACCCCGCGCAUUCAAGACUUGUUACCUGCAUAUGCUUGACAAGCGGUAUCAUGUAUUUUCUGAGGACUUUUGUUUUCUUCCAAUAGCCCAUCCAUAAGAUUUGGGACGCGAACUCUGCAAUGGGCCAAGCUGUGAAAGCCCAAUAAGAAUAUACAGGCCACGUCAAACCAGAACAAGAAUUUGCAAAAAGUGAGGUUAAGUCCAGUGCGUGGGGUGGGGGCAGAUUUCUAGGAUGGUCAACCCGUAGAAAGGUUGACACUUGGAUGCCAAAUCCCAAACGUAUUUCAAUUUGAAGCAUGAAGUCGCCAGUUGCUGUGGAUUACGUUGUAGUGAAUGGGGUCUUCCAAGAAGUUUGUUGAGAAGAAGAAAUUUGAGGUAAAAUGCAUCAAAUUCAGGAUCAAUUAGGCAUGCAGACAAGAAACUCUGGUUGGGAAGAAAAAUGGGCGGUUGGUAUUGGGUGUGUCAUCGACAUGGGGGUCGAUUUCUAAGUGAAAGCAAGAAGAUGAUUUGAUUUUCGAUUUCGUCAUGAUGUAACCGGAUCUAGAGGAUUCUUAACUUGACCUUAUGAUUUUCAAUAAACCAAAAAAAAAAGGUUAAUAUGGGAGA